rnacentral:lncRNA from 10 species
AGGACUCCUGCUUUGGGGAAGGUCAGGACCUCUCUGAGCGUCACUUAAGGGCCUCCCCUUGGCUCCCUGGCACUCCUCCCCACCCGGCACCCCACCCCUAACUUGGUGCCCAGAGUUCUAAGGGUAAAAGGUCGUCAUAGAUGAGAACAGCAACACCAUCUGUUCACUCUGUGUUCUCUGUGCCCAGUGUUGUGUGAAACUUUCUAUCCAAUAUCUUGCAAAAUCCUUACAGCAACCCUAUAAGGCUCUAGGAUGCAGCAGUGAACAAAACAGACGAGUCUACAGAGUUGACAUGACAUGCAGGGGCCAUGGAGAAGGCGAGAACUGUGGAAACGUCGUUGUUGAGUAUGUCAAAUGGUGAUGUGUGCUGUAAAGAAGGAGUGAAGCUGGACUCAGAGCGGACAGGAAGACAGGGGUAGGGGUAGGUCUGGGCUUUUGUACAGGGUGAUCUGAGAAGGCCACUUUGACAAGGUGAUAUGUAAAGUGAGGACACAAGCCCUGUGACUAUGUGGGCACAACUCUCCUAGGAAAAGGGAGCAGCAAAGUGCAUGGACCCCAAAGCAGGAAUGAAUAUGCUCAGUGCGUCCAAGGAAGAGCCGGGACCAGCAGAGCUCAAGUGGAGUGAGCGUGGGGAAAGAGCGGACCCGGUCAGAGGGGUGCUGGGGACCAGACAACGUCACGCGUCAUGGCCAUCGCUAAGGAUUUGGGGUUUUACUUUGCAUGAGAUGAAAAGCCACAGGAGGGUUUUGAAUAGAGGAGUAGAAUGAUUUGACUUGAGUUUUUAAAAGGUUUACUCCAGCUGCUUGGUGGAGAGUGGAUGGUGCAGGUGAGGGCAGAGGCAGGGAAACCAGUUAGGAGGCUGCUGCAGCGACGUGGGAGAGGACUGUGGGUGGUUUGGGCCAUAUUAGAAGCAGUGGUAAGAAACACUGAGCUCUGGAUGUGUUCUGAAGGUAUGCCAACGUGAUUUACUAACCGAUCCAUGAAGGGCAUGAGAGGAAGAGAGCAAUCAAAAAUGACCCCCAGGGUUUUUGUCUGAGCAUCUGGAGUUGCCCUUAUUUGAGAGUUAGAAGACCAAGAGGGCCGGGUGUAGUGGCUCACGUCUGUAAUCCCGGCACUUUGGGAGGCCGAGGCAGGUGGAUCACUUGAGGUCAAGAGUUGGAGACCAGCCUGGCCAACGUGGUGAAACCCCGUCUCUACUAAAAAUACAAAAAAUAGCCAGGCAUGGUGGUGGGCAUCUGUAGUCCCAGCUACUCAGGAGGCUGAGGCAGGAGAAUCGCUUGAACCCGGCAGGCGGAGGUUGCAGCAAGCCAAGAUCGUGCCACUGCACUCCAGCCUGGGUGGCAGAGCAAGACUCCGUCUCAAAACAAAACAAAACAAAAAACAAGAGGAACACAUUAGGUGGAUAGGAGAUGUCGUUUGGGUGCAGCCAGGCUGGGUGGCUCACACUUGUAAUCCCAGCACUUUGGGAGGCCCAGGUGGGAGGACUGUUUGAGCCCAGGAGUUGGAGACCAGCCCGGCUAACAUAGCGAGACUCCAUCCCUACAGAAAAAUUAAAAAAUUAGCCGGGCAUGGCGGCAUGUGCCUGUAGUCCCAGCGACUUGGGUGGGGGGCUGAGUUCAGGAGGUUUUGGCUGCAGUGAGCUGUGAUCACACCGCUGCACUCCAGCCUGGGCAUUAGAGCAAGACCUUGUCUUAAAAAAAAAACAACGAAAGUUUGAAUUGCCCAUUAGACAUCCAAGUAGAAAGGUCGAGUUUUAAGUUGGGUAUAGAAGUCUGGAGUUUGGGGUAAAGGUCUGGGCUGGAGAUCUAGCUUUAGGAGUCCUUCAGUCCUAGAGAGAGGGUGAAGUCAGGAAGGAAUGACAGAGGAAGCACCCAGGCCUGGACCUUGGGACCCUCCAAUGUUCACGGGCAGAGAGAAGUGGGGAGCGGCCAGUGAGGCAGGGGAGACCCCCUGGAGUGAGUGUCAAGAGGAUGGAGGGAGCUACUCUGUCAAAGACUGCUGCUCAUGGGCCAAGUAAAAUGAGGUCUGAGAACAGCCCAUUGCAUUUGGCAGCUGGAGGUCCUUCAAGGUCUUGACGUGAGCUGUUUCGGUGGAGCCAGGUAAUAAAAGUUAGUGGGUAGGAGUUAAAGCAAGAAAUUUCUUUGACUUUUGUCACCUGGCUCCACUGAAACAGCUCACGUCAAACCUCUGAGGAAGGGAAUUGGAGACAGUAACUGGAACACUCUUAAAGUUCUUUAGGCUGGGGACAGUGGCUCACGUCUGUGAUCCCAACACUUUGGGAGGCCGAGGUGGGUGGAUUGCUUGAGUCCAGGAGUUUGAGACCACUCUGGACAAUAUGGCAAAACUCAAUUUCUACUGAAAAUACAAAAAAUUAGCCAGGUGUGGUGGCCUGUGCCUGUGGUCCCACCUACUGGGGAGUCGGAGGUGGACGGAUCACCUGAGCCUGGGAGGUGGAGGCUGCAGUGAGUCCUGAUUGCAUCACUAUACUCCAGCCUAGGAAACCAGAGUGAGGCCCUGUCUCAGGGGAAAAAAAAAAAAAAGAAUUAUCCAGCCUGGGCAACAAAGUGAGACCCUGUCUCUACAAAAAAAUAAAAAUAAAAAAAUUAACUAGGUGUGGUGAUGGACACCUGUGGAUCCAGCUACUUGGGAAGCUGAGGUGGAAGGAUCACUUGAGCCUGUGAGGUCGAGGCUGCGAUGAGCUGUGAUUAUGCCACUGCACUAUAGCCUGAGUGAGAGUGAAAUCUUGUCUCAAAAAAAAAAAAAACAGUUUUGUCUACAGGUGAGCAGAGCAGGGAGCAAUGGCUAAAGCAGGAUGAGAGAUAAAGGAAGAGAACUAGGUUGUUGUUCUGCUUCCCAUCUUGUUAUUCCAGGUCAGACAUGGUGAGGUUCACCAAGGCAAAUCCAAUAGUGGGAGUUGGAAUGUGGGCAAGGAAGUUCUGUCAUGAUCAACUGUGAAUCUACAUUGGCUAAGGAGUGAAAUGAGGCAAUUAAGGGGCUAAUGAUUCAUGAAGAGGUGGUUGGGUCAUAGAUUCUAAGUCUCAGCUGGUAGAAGGAUUAUUGAAGUCUGGAUAAGAGAAAGAGUGAGCUGGAAACCCAGGGCACAGUGGUUGGAGAGUGGGACAUAGAAACUGAGAUGACUAGGCUGGGCGUGGUGGCUCACGCCUGUAGUCCCAGCUACUCAGGAGGCUGAGGCAGGAGAAUGGUGUGAACCCGGGAGGCGGAGCUUGCAGUGGGCCAAGAUCGCGCCACUGCACUCCAGCCUGGACGACAGAGCAAGACUCCUUCUCAAAAAAAAAAAAAAAAAUAAGAAACCAAGAUGACAGACAACUGCAGCCAGAGAAAAUGACAGUUCUAGGGUGCGACCGUGGGAGUGAGAGGUUAGGGUGGAGGUGACCAGGUGGACAGUAGGACACAGAACUGAGAGGUACACAAGGAUCUUCUGUGUGGAUAUUGAAAUCAGUGUGAGAUAAAUACAGUGCUGGAGAGACUGAGAAUGAACUCAAAGUCCUCAAGGAUCGAGAUGAGAAGUGACCUGGGGUCAGCAGGUACCUUCAAGAAGGAGGCGGUCGGCUGGGCACGGUGGCUCACGCCUGUAAUCCCAGCACUUUGGAGGCCGAGGCGGGCAGAUCACCUGAAGUAGGAGUUCGAGACCAGCCUGGCCAACAUGGUGAAACCCCAUCUCUACUAAAAAUACAAAAAUUAGCCAGGCGUGGUGGCGGGUGCCUGUAAUCCCAGCUACUCAGGAGGCUGAGGCAGGAGAAUUGCUUGAACCCAGGAGGCAGAGGUUGCAGUGAGCCAAGAUUGCGCCACUGCACUCCAGCCUGGGGGACAAGAGUGAGACUUGGUCUCAGAAAAAAAAAAAAGAAGGACAGGGUCAGUGGUAUAGUUUGAUGAGAUUCGAAGGGAGAUUCAACCCAGUGGUUGUUUAGGAAGGAAAGAGCAAAUGGUUUGGAAUCAGCAAUCAGUACUGAAGAGGUUAUUGACCCCACCCUAGGGCUGAGGUAUGAGGGCAGGAGGGAGAACAGCUACCACUUGAACACCCGAGCUCAGGUGAUCCACCCACCUUAGCCUCCCAGGUAGCUGGGACCACAGUCUGGAAAGGGGAUGUUAACAGCUUCACUAGGACACUUUUUGAGUCUUGAACUCAGUUUCUCAGAUUACAUAAUUUCACUUCCUCCUAACUUGUUUGAGAGGCACCACUUUCUGAACCUGCAUCUGAUGCUGACAUUGGGAAUUAUAACCCAAACCACAAUUACCCAUUCAAAUAACAUUUGGACAGUUUUCCUCCCAUUUACCCAGGAGAUAUAUAUUUAUAAUCUUCAAGUUGCAUUUUAAAAUGAUUUUAAAAAGCCUUAUUUACAAAAACAUGCAACUCUUUUCAUUGUGAGGUCAUAUCCCUAGGGAGACUUACUAAAUCUGUGUUCAAAUUUCUUUGCCGAUUUUUUCACCACUGUCAUCAGGUGACCUUUAUAAACAUACAAACUAGCAUUGACUGAGGUCAUUUCAGGUGACGGCAUCUCAGACAGCUGUCAUUACUUAAAAAGAUGAAUUAAAAAAAGUGGAGGGAGGAAAGGUGAAAGAGAAAUGCAGAAAGAGAAAAAAGAAAAUAAAAGAGAGGAAAAGAGAAAGAGGAAAGAAUGAGAAAGAGAAGGAAGGAAAGAAGGAAGAGGAAAGAGGGGAAGGAAGGAAAAAAGGAAGGAAGAGGAAAUAGGGGAAGGAAGGAAGGGAGGAAAGAAGAAAGGAAGGGAAGAAUAGAGGGAGGAAGUGAGGGAGGGAGAGAGGAGACUAAGGUUUCUAAUAUAAGACUACAUGGAAUUAGUCUUUUCUGAGGGAUAAUUUUCAGAAAAAUAAACAAACAAAAAACCCUUGGCUCAUAUUCAGUCAUCUCUGGUGCCAUCUUUUCAGUCAUAGUGUCUAGAACAGUGCCAAUGAAUGUUUCUGGAAUGAAUUAACUGAUUGCUAUUGUCUUCUAGCCCUAACAAAGAUUUCUCCAUGACCCUUAGAUCCUUGGACCCCUGGUCCUAAGAGAAACAUCACCCACCUCAUGCCCCCAUGCCUGGCUUUUGCUUGGCUACUAAGCUCCAUCUUGCUUCUUUUUUCUUCCAACAUGUGUAUUCAGAAGCUCUUGGCUUUUAUUAAAUGCAACUCUGCUGCUAAUACAUUACAGAAUUUAAUCUUGUGCCAGCCACACCCUGGCACUGAACCCAGCUGGGCAGGGGGCCAGAUUUGAAGUGAGGUUCUCCCUGCCAGUGAUUAAGUUUGGUUAAGAGGUGAGAUAGUCACUGCCAGAUGCAAAAACUCCAGGAGGCAUUUCCAGCUGCAUGUAGAACUCUGUAGUUUCUGCCUCUGGUGAUGGAGUUUGGGGGUCAUCUGAAUGGGGAGUGAUGAGAGGUAGGAGCUGAAAUAGAAAGAUGCGGCCGGGCACGGUGGCUCACGCCUGUAAUCCCAGCACUUUGGGAGGCCGAGAUAGGCGGAUCACGAGGUCAGGAGGUUGAGACCAGCCUGACCAACAUGGUGAAACCCCGUCUCUACUACAAAUACAAAAAUUAGCCAGCCAUGGUGGUGUGCGCAUGUAAUCCCAGCUACUCGGGAGGCUGAGGCAGGAGAAUCACUUGAACCUAGGAGGCGGAGGUUGCGGUGAGCCAAGAUCAUGCCACUGCACUCCAGCCUGGGUGACAGAGUGAGACUCCAUCUCGGAAAAAAAAGAAAAGAAAAAGAAAGAAAGAAAAAAGAAAGAUGCAAAUAAAACAGAGGUGAGGACAGCAGCGGGUGAGGAGUGGGUCUUCGAUGUUGGUAGAAACUUCUCUAAUCUUUUACACCUCUAACUCUAUCUCCCUCCUGAAAGCCCUCAUCUGGCCUGGAAUUGGCUUUGAGGGUUGUACCACUAUGCAUUUUGAUAACACAUGAUGAGUUUUUAGAUCAAAGCACACUAGGGUAGUUGUUGUUGAAUACAUGCAUGGCUAAUUCUAUAGCCUCCUGUGGGGUCAGGUUACCCCCAAGCCCUGUGCCUCAGCCAUGGGACACAUGGCGAUGGUUGUGGAUGGAUCCUCAUGCACCAUUCCCUUAGCUCUUGUGUUCGUAAUAGAAUCCUUAUUUGAGAACCUGGGUCCCUAUCAGUACAAGUAAAAGGAAAAGAAGAAACACCCAGAGUGAGAUUCUUCAGGUAGCUUUGAGGAUGCCCAAGGUGAAACAUUAAUCAAUCAAUAACAACAUGAUGGAGAGGCAGGUGUUCCCUCUUCUGUACCCCCUUUCCUGGAGUGUGGGAACUACUGAGGCUCUCACAAUGCAACUCAAGGCUAGGGAGGAGAUAGAUACCAUUUUGUUUUUGUUUUGGUUUUGAGACGGAGUCUCACUCUGUCGCUCAGGCUAGAGAGCAGUGGCAUGAUCUCGGCUCACGGCAACCUCCGCCUCCCAGGUUCAGGCAAUUCUCCUGCCUCAGCCUCCCAAGUAGCUGGGACUACUGGUGCCUGGCCACCAUGCCCGGCUAAUUUUUGUAG